rnacentral:lncRNA from 1 species
GGUUCAGACUGAGCUUUGCAGGGACGGACCCCACAUGACUGCCCAGCAUGGUUUACAGCUGCUGUGAGUGACCUUUAAACCCGCUAAUGCUCCCUAAAAUCAUCUUAACACCUGUGAAACACCCACCAUCGUCAAUGUCUAUUUACAAAAUUAUUCAGUAAGUUUAGGUUGAAGAAAAGUGUUGUAAAAGAGGGACAGGCCGAGAGCUAAAACAUCUGGGAGCAGAAGUCAGUACUCAGGUCAGUGUGACGAAGAAGCUGGAAAUGGUUCCCUAUGGGCCAUCUGCACUGAAGGGCGAUAACUCUGCUGUGAAGACACACUUCUGAUGGAGAAGAGAAACUGUCUAUAAAGAAUGCAAGCUCACAUGUUCUUACAAGAAUGGCGACAAGACAGACAGCCUAGGGACAUUUUACUUUUGAGGUUUGGUGUGGAGAUUACGGAUGAAGAAUUUGAGUUGCCACUUGACAGAAUCCCCCUUGAUGAAGACGGAAAUGUCAGAGACACCCAGCUCAUACCCAUGCUUGAUUUUGUGUUUUCCC